GAAUAACUGUUUACUUCUGUCUGUUUCAUAAUAGUUUCAUCACUUUAAUUUUAACUACUCAUCAGAUUUGAUAUCACCUUGCAUUUGAUAAAGCUUUAGCAGGGAAUGUAUUUUCACAUUCAAUCCAUUAACUCCCUGUUUUCAAAAUACUGACAUAAUCUUACAGGUAAUAACCAUGGAAGAAAAUUGCACAUCUCCUCAGGAACAAUGAAUCAUGACUAUCAAAAAUUGGUCUAUUAAAUAUUUUAAUCUGUAUUGAUUACAGUCAUGCUCAUAUAUGUUUUAAUCACACUCUUUAAAAUGGCAGCGUUUAGAAAAGUAUUUUGUAUUAUAAAUGUAAAUUUUGUUUUGUCAUCCCAAUUUCAGUAAAUUAUAUCAUCUUAAAAUGUGCUCUCAUUGUUCUGUCUUUGAUUAUAGUAACAGACUUAUUGGGUUUUUUUUUCGGCGUUUCUGCAUUAAUAAGGUUUUGCAAUGAACAACUGGCUGACCACUGUUAGCGUUACUAAUACUGAAUGUUUAAAACAAAUACACAGUAUAGAAGAUGUUUUUGUUUUUGUAUGCACACAAGUUGUUCCUAUAUAUAUUUAUAUAAAAGAGAUGAAAAAGUCUACAAUCUCAAAUAAUGUGUAUUUGAACUGAGGCUACAUCAUUGGCAACAGUGUUUGGCUGGUGUCCUGUUUUGUGUGAAGCUAAUUGAAAAGGUAUUAGUGAAAAUGAAGUAAAAUGAAGAGUAUUUCAAACUUAGAUCAUUGGUGCUUCCGUAAUCAUAUAAAAACAAACAUUUAAAACUUCUAUGUUUCAUAUGGCUCAUUGUCUGUCAUGCUGUCUUGAAACAAAAACGUAAUAAGUCCGUUGCCAAACAUGAUUAGUGUGAAAACGCUGAAAAAAGUCUGCUACCAUUCUAUACAUUGUUAUGGUUCUCAUAAAGUUUUGUCUCUUGAACUUGACUUUUGAAUUCUACACAUUGUUAUGGUUCUCAAAAAAGUUUCGUCUCUUGAACUUGACUUUUGUCUUUUUUUGUUACAAGUCUUUUAGUGGUAAAAUAGUUUUAUUUUGAAUUAAUGUGUUCA
rnacentral:lncRNA from 1 species